GGGCCGCACGCGCGCUACACUGACCGGAUCAGCGUGUGCUCUCCUUGUCCGACAGGUCCGGGAAACCCGUUGAACCCCGGUCGUGCUAGGGAUAGGGAAUUGCAAUUAUUUCCCUUGAACGAGGAAUUCCCAGUAAGCGCGAGUCAUUAGCUCGCGUUGAUUACGUCCCUGCCCUUUGUACACACCGCCCGUCGCUACUACCGAUUGAAUGGUUUAGUGAGGUCCUCCGAUUGGACCCGGUCCGGGCGGCGACGUCCGAGCCGGCGUCCGAGAAGACGAUCUAACUUGAUCAUUUAGAGGAAGUAAAAGUCGUAACAAGGUUUCCGUAGGUGAACCUGCGGAAGGAUCAUUA
rnacentral:ncRNA from 1 species